AUGAGUAACUAGGGGACAAUAAGGAACUGGGAUUAAAAGCAUGGCUUCUGCUAUCUGACUACUUGGGGGUGAGUUGUGGCUUCAUAAUCAUAAGAACUUGGGUAAGUGACUUCAAUUCUCUAGGUUGCAGAUCACUUCCUGGAAUGUGAUGAUGAAAACAUUACUUGCUGCAUAGAGUUGCCGUGAGGAUUAAUGAGAAAAUAUAUGUAAUAGCACCCUGCAGAUUCAAGUAAAUAAGGAAAUUCCCAACUCUCAGUGCUUUUAAGUGUGGGAAAACCGGAGGACCACAGGACCAAUAUUCUUCUUUGAAAACUGUUUGUGGUUUGGCAUUCAAGAGUCUCACAAUUGUGCCAUAUUUCUUUAGCAUUUUCCGCGGGCUGGCUUCCUCAUGCUACGAGUCAUCUCUGGAAAAUGACCAAACCUGGAAGAGAUUGGCUGCUUUGUGUGUAUUGAAGGUAGGAUUCCUAGCACGGAUGGCAGGGAAGCAGCUGAGCUUUAGGGAGGUGCUUUAGGCUUAGACAGUGGAGAUAAUCAUGAUGACCCUGGUGGACUAAAAAUUAAAGGACCCUCCUCUUUGGGGGGAUUUUGAUGUGGCUUUGUGUGGAGAGGGCCUUGUGACUGAGAUUGGGCAUUUUGGCAUCCUGGUAGGAUAAUAGCUUGGGGUCACAUUUAAUUUUAUUUCAAGAAAAGGCAAAGAAAAAAAUAUGAUAAUUCUUGGAUACCUGGAGGUGCAAAUUGAGAUUCACACUUUCACAUAUAAAAUAAGUUGAGUCUUUAAAGAUGGCCACUUGUAGAUGGAUCUUUAAUGGGACUGUUAAAUAUAGUUUUAACCUUAAAAAGUAAAAGUUUGGUACUUAGCUCUUUCUUCAGAACAAUUCUUAUGUAACACAUCAGUAUACAAUACAGUGAAAAUACAGGUAUUUUGAAUGGAUUUUCUGGAAUCCAGGAUCCUUCUAUUUGGCCUUUCCCUCAUAGUGACUGACCCCUACAUGCCAUCCGUGAAAUCCUAGGGCUCUGAGAAUCAGCUUGGAGCCCCGCCCCACGUCACAGACUUGCUUUGAUAAGCGGGUGGCUGAGAUACUUUUGAGUCAUGCCAAGAUUCCUUAGCACUUUACCUAAGGUCCUUCUUAAUGUGGCCCCUGCUUCCUCCCAGCCCCGUCUCUUGCCACUUGCAUUCAUUCUUGCAUUCUGAGGGAUUACUCCAGCUCCACCUCUGAGCUUGAUGCAGAGUAGGUGCUAAGUAAAUGUCAAAUCAACGAUGUAAUGCAUAUUGUAUGAGGAAAGCCAUCUUGCAGCCCAAGUGAUGCAGGG
rnacentral:lncRNA from 1 species